rnacentral:rRNA from 1 species
AACGAACGCUGGCGGCAGGCCUAACACAUGCAAGUCGAGCGAAGCCUUCGGGCUUAGCGGCGGACGGAUGAGCGACGCGUGGGAACGUGCCCUUUGGUACGGAAUAGCCCCGGGAAACUGGGAGUAAUACCGUAUGUGGUCGAGAGACGAAAGAUUAUCGCCAAAGGAUCGGCCCGCGUUGGAUUAGGUAGUUGGUGGGGUAAUGGCCUACCAAGCCGACGAUCCAUAGCUGGUUUGAGAGGAUGAUCAGCCACACUGGGACUGAGCACACGGCCCAGACUCCUACGGGAGGCAGCAGUGGGGAAUCUUAGACAAUGGGGGAAACCCUGAUCUAGCCAUGCCGCGUGAUCGAUGAAGGCCUUAGGGUUGUAAAGAUCUUUCAGUGGGGAAGAUAAUGACUGUACCCACAGAAGAAGCCCCGGCUAACUCCGUGCCAGCAGCCGCCGUAACAC